AAUUUGGAACCAUAAAGAAUGAUUCUUAUCAGUACAUGCCCAUUACCUUAAUAUAAAGUGUUUUUCCUUUAGGACUAGAGCUUUCCUAGAUAUGAUCUCUAGAAGGUCUGGCUGAAUAGGAAAUAAUAUUAUAAUCUGAUAUCUAUAUUUGGCCUAAAUACAUGGUUUCAAUUUGAUAUUCAAAAUAAACACACUCAGAAAUUCACUUCACAAAGUAUAAAUGUCAAAUUUGGACAGAGAAUAGGCACAUCUUGAUGAGACAUUUUAAUUUAAUUUGGAAUGGUCCUAGUGACAAGAGAGGAAGGAGAGAGAACUACAUGACCCAAUGAAAGAGAUGCUCUACCAUAGCACAGCAACACUUGCUCAGCGGCUUUAUUUAUAAAAGCCAGAAACUGGAAAAAGUCCAAAUGUUCCUCAACUGAAGAAUAGAUAACGAGAAUGUGGCAAAACCACACAAUGGAAUACUACUCAGCUGUUAAAAACAAGGACAUCAUGAAAUCUGCAGGCUUGCAGACAAACGUCUAGCAUAGCUUUCCUUCGAGAGCCUUCACCCAGCAGCUGAUGGAAACAGAUGCAGAAGACCCAUAGUCAAGAGCUUGGGGAAUCUUGCUGAAGAGUUUGGUUUGCUGGUCAUCUAUGACAUUAAUUUUAAAGGUUCAUUAUAGCCUUUGUAGUAUUGAGAAUCUGCUAUUUCCAAGGCACAGCUAAAAUUGAGAAGAAGCAAUCUUACAGAUCGUUUAAAACAACUGACUUAUGCACUGUGAAGCUAUGGCCCUGCAGGAAAAUGUGGUACCUCCAAGGUCACACAUCUCCAGAGUUACAAAGGCAAGAUCCCACCAACCUGCCAAGACAUUCUUGCAUUAAUUAAAGGUCUUCACUUCAAUAACCAAGGAUUUCUGGGUUCAGGAACUCCCAUGUCAUCGGGUGAACUGUCAAUACACAGUACUGAGUCUUUGUCAACCCAGAAGAUCACUCCCGAUCAGCGAUGACAUGCAUGUGCUAUGGGAUCCAGAAUCGGGAGCCAUGAUUGCCUGUAAAACCUGAAAGUUCCCGUUCUUUAAAUAUCAGUCUCAAAAAAUAAAACAAAAUUCUGAG
ensembl:lncRNA